rnacentral:rRNA from 1 species
UGCCAGCAGCCGCGGUAAUACGUAGGGGGCAAGCGUUGUCCGGAAUCACUGGGCGUAAAGAGCAUGUAGGCGGAUGCUUAAGUCAGAUGUGAAAACUAUGGGCUCAACCUGUAGACUGCAUCUGAUACUGAACAUCUUGAGUAUGAGAGAGGAAAGUGGAAUUCCUAGUGUAGCGGUGAAAUGCGUAGAUAUUAGGAGGAACACCAGUGGCGAAGGCGACUUUCUGGCUCAUAACUGACGCUGAGAUGCGAAAGCGUGGGGAGCAAACAGGAUUAGAUA